rnacentral:rRNA from 1 species
AGAGUUUGAUCCUGGCUCAGGAUAAACGCUAGCGGCAGGCCUAACACAUGCAAGUCGAGGGGCAGCGGGUGGAGUAUUUCGGUACUCCUGCCGGCGACCGGCGCACGGGUGCGUAACGCGUAUGCAACCUACCUUUAACAGGGGGAUAACACUGAGAAAUUGGUACUAAUACCCCAUAAUAUCAUAGAAGGCAUCUUUUAUGGUUGAAAAUUCCGAUGGUUAGAGAUGGGCAUGCGUUGUAUUAGCUAGUUGGUGGGGUAACGGCUCACCAAGGCGACGAUACAUAGGGGGACUGAGAGGUUAACCCCCCACACUGGUACUGAGACACGGACCAGACUCCUACGGGAGGCAGCAGUGAGGAAUAUUGGUCAAUGGACGCAAGUCUGAACCAGCCAUGCCGCGUGCAGGAUGAAGGUGCUAUGCAUUGUAAACUGCUUUUGUACGAGGGUAAAUGCAGGUACGUGUACCUGUUUGAAAGUAUCGUACGAAUAAGGGUCGGCUAACUCCGUGCCAGCAGCCGCGGUAAUACGGAGGACCCGAGCGUUAUCCGGAUUUAUUGGGUUUAAAGGGUGCGUAGGCGGAUUAGUAAGUUAGAGGUGAAAGCUCGAUGCUCAACAUCGAAAUUGCCUCUGAUACUGUUAGUCUAGAGUAUAGUUGCGGAAGGCGGAAUGUGUGGUGUAGCGGUGAAAUGCUUAGAUAUCACACAGAACACCGAUUGCGAAGGCAGCUUUCCAAGCUAUUACUGACGCUGAUGCACGAAAGCGUGGGGAGCGAACAGGAUUAGAUACCCUGGUAGUCCACGCCGUAAACGAUGAUAACUCGUUGCCGGCGAUAUACUGUCGGUGACUAAGCGAAAGCGAUAAGUUAUCCACCUGGGGAGUACGUUCGCAAGAAUGAAACUCAAAGGAAUUGACGGGGGCCCGCACAAGCGGAGGAACAUGUG